rnacentral:lncRNA from 1 species
AACAAACUGUAUGAUGUUCUAGGCAUUGCAUAUAUUGGUGGCGUCUGCACCAGAGAGAAGGUGGGCAUGGGUGAAGACAAGGCAGGAACGUUCGUUGGAACUAGGAUAAUGACUCACGAACUGGGACAUACACUUGGUUGCCCACACGACGGAUAUCAAUACACUGGCUUUUCAUCGAAGGACUGCCCAUGGUAUGAUGGCUUCCUGAUGACAUACCUAAAGAAUAGCAGCAACAGCAUGAAAUUCUCCACCUGCUGCAACAAUGCGAUUACGCGUCUUGCACGGUCUGGCCAGGGUUGGUGCCUCCAUGAAAUGAACGCCAAGCGCAGAAUAAACAGAAUGCACGACACACACCGGCUACCCGGAGAAGUGUUAAAAAGGGAUGAGGUCUGCAAGCUCGCUUUCCCUACUGUUGAAGGCAUCCACUUUG